GCCUAAAGGGCCAGACGCUCAGGGCUCAGGCCCAGGGUGGCCCCUGCACAGGCCACGGAGCUAGGGUGAGAGGAGGGACCCUGGGCUGGCAGAAGCCGAGAACCGACCCCAGCAGAGCUAAGAUAUUUCCAGAGCCCCACCGUGAUGCUCAUGACAGCCCCGGAGCGGCCAGGAGGUGCAGAAUUUCUGCUCUAUGUUCCUCGGACAAAGGCAACGUCGGGGAGCUUGUCAGCAGGUGCAGAGGGAAAGGCAAGAGAAGGCAGUGUGUCCCACGAGUGUGUCCAGUGUGGCUGCGUGGGAACCGUGGCAGGGACUAAGACCAACUGGAACUCAGCCCACGCUCCUCCUCUGUGCCCAGUGAGGAUGCCACCAGCAUGUCUAACUUGGCUGCCACCUCACAAAUGACAGCAUUACCCUGGGGGCGAGCCAGGGCCCGGGGCAGGAACCACAGGCAGUAACUCAACACAGCGAAUGAGGGGAGGGGUAUUUGAAAGAACAAAAAAGAAGAGGGUUCAAGGCCAUCUCUCUGCAGCCAAGUGACUUCCCCGCUGUGCUCAUCGCGCCGCAGAACCCAGGUCACAUCCGUGGAGCUGGAGAAAUUCCCUGAUGACAGCCGGCGACCAUGGCGACCAUGGCGACCAUAGUGGACAAGUUGUGGGGUUAACACUUUGGAGGCUGCCGAGUUUCCUUAGCAGAGCUGUGGAGUGUGACAAUGGUGUUUGUGUCCAAACUAUCAAACGCCAUUAUCACACUAAAUAGCUACUGCUAGGCCAUCCUUCUGCUCAGUAACCAUCUUGACAUCUGUUGCGUGGUCCUCUGGACAAGGCGCAUCUACCUGAGUGCUCCCCUCCUGUGUAAUUCCUGGAUAAAGUCUCAUCACCCCGUGCUCAUCCCCAGUGCAGCUCCUUGAGCCUUCUCCCCCUCACAUGCUGCUGUUAAAUAUUUAGCAGAUGGUAGAUUCUUGUUUUCUGGACUCAACAAAGAUUGCAGAGCACCCAGCACCAGGCUAUAAGCAACUGGGAAUCAUUCAGCCCAUGCUUACUGAGUCGAAAUGAAGAGUUAGAGAAGUGUUUGACUCGGAAAACCAGAGCGGGGUUAAAUCUAACUUACGCAAACCACAGGUGUGCAGGUACAACAUUAAGGUGCAUUAUCAUUUAAGAAGUUUAACUUUCUAAUAAACUUACCCAUGGCUCA